ACAUAAAUAUUUUCAGAUACAAAUGAUCAUGAAAUAAAACAUCCAGUCAUGUAAGCUGUGCCAACACUAUGAGAAAAGGUGUUGAUGUCAUGAGAAACCCUUUGGAGGAAACACAAAGAUGAGGGAGGAGAGAUAGCAUUUCCUCAGGCAUGGCCCGCUGUGGCUUCCGGUUGUGAUAAGGGGUCUAAGCCUGAAGUCUAGAGUGCAGGCUUCUGUGGGCUCACCAGUGCCCUUGCUUUGGAACAUCAUGUGUUACUUUGUUUCAACACAAAGUCCUGUUGAUUUCUUCAGCCUGAGAUGAAAGCGUGUAUUCAUUUUAUAUGUUGCUCAGAUGCUAUACCUUAGAAAUGGACUUAAAUCGUUUUAGAAGCGAGGCAAGUGAAGUCCAAGUAGGGGGCUGAAUCUUUUCUAACCUGCAUAUUUAAUUAUUGGAGAGUCUUGAAUAGCAUUCACCCCCAACCCACAUGCACUCGUAAAGCACUCUCCGAUUAAAUGCUUGGUGUCAUUUAGAUUAAAUACAAAGGCUCUCAUUCUACCUAUGAGUGUGCCCUCAAAUAAAAAUGAGUUUAAAAUGUGAAAUCCUUCACUUUAUUUUGAAAUUCCAGGCAUCUAUCCAGUUGGAGACAGAGAUUUGCUAACAAUUAAAAGACUAUUCAUAUCCUCAAACAACCUAAAGUGUCUCUCCAGCCUCCAUUUAAAAAUCUUUAUUGAAAUGCUUAUCCAUUCAUAUGAUGAUGAACAUUUGGCUAUUUCCAGUUAGGAGCAAUGCAGUCUUUUGAGCUGACCUGCUCUGAGUUAUCUUGGUAGAUAUAUUAGAUGGAUGGAUGGAUGGAUGGAUGGAUGGAUGGAUGGAUAGAUGAUAGAUAGAUAGAUAGAUAGAUAGAUAGAUAGAUAGAUAGAUAGAAGGAACAAAUGAAGAUAAAUGAUGAAUAGAUAAUAGAUUAUACAUAGAUAUAUGAUAGAUAUAGGUAAUAGAUUAUAUAUACAUAUAUGUAUGGAUGAUAGAUGGAUAGACAGAUAGAUGAUAGAUAGGUAGGUAGAUAGACAGAUAGAUAGAUGACAGAUAGUGGAUAAAAGAUUAAAUCAUUUCACAAGGACUGUGUAGUUAAAAUAGCUUUGGAUUUUGUACAGAAAUACAAAUGUAUCUAUAGGCUAUUAAGAUCUAUAACCUCUAUGAAUAGCUAAGACCUCCUUGGGUUCCUCUCAUUCACCUGUCACCAUCCUCUCUAGUCCCAGGAGCUGUCCCCACUGAAUCCAUCCAAGGCAGUGCCUUUGAAGAGAAGAUAUUUCUUCAGUGGAGAGAGCCGACACAAACAUAUGGGGUCAUCACUUUAUAUGAGGUAACUUACAUAUUUGUUGGUAAUUUACUGUUUUAAGUAUAAUAUCUUGUGACAACAUGAGCUUUCUGUUAUUUUAAAAACGCAAUUUCAUGUUUUCUUGGCAAGUUUACGACUUUCUAUAGUCACAAUAGUUGUUCUAGAAACAGGAGACUAAAAGUAAAUAGUUUCAACUAUGCAUAAUUUCAAGAUACAUAUUUAAAAUAAGUUGGAUCAUUGUGUGUUGUGUGUUAUAUAUUAAGACAGCAUAACACUUUUAAAGUCACUGUUAUUGAAAGUAAUAAAUAUUUUGAAAUAUACAUUGAUGAGGAAGCGAUCACUGAGUCAUACUCUUUCCUAGCUACCUAGUGCUUUUUUCCCCCCCACUGAUUAAAGAGUGUGGAUUAUCCAAUUAGGAAAGUCAAUAAAAAAUUGUCUCCACAAUAACCAUAGAAUAAUCAUUUUUGGUUCCUUUAUAUCAACGUAUAUUUCUUAGACUUCAUUGACACCAUUUUGUCUGCUGAAACAAAUCAAACAGUUGAGUGACAGUAGC
rnacentral:lncRNA from 1 species